rnacentral:rRNA from 1 species
CNNGNGGAGNUANUNNGGGGUGANGUNUGANGGAGCNACGCNCCCGUGAGUUGAUGAAGGCUUUUCGGGUCGUAAAACUCUGUUGUUAGGGAAGAACAAGUACAAGAGUAACUGCUUGUACCUUGACGGUACCUAACCAGAAAGCCACGGCUAACUACGUGCCAGCAGCCGCGGUAAUACGUAGGUGGCAAGCGUUAUCCGGAAUUAUUGGGCGUAAAGCGCGCGCAGGCGGUUUCUUAAGUCUGAUGUGAAAGCCCACGGCUCAACCGUGGAGGGUCAUUGGAAACUGGGGAACUUGAGUGCAGAAGAGAAAAGCGGAAUUCCACGUGUAGCGGUGAAAUGCGUAGAGAUGUGGAGGAACACCAGUGGCGAAGGCGGCUUUUUGGUCUGUAACUGACGCUGAGGCGCGAAAGCGUGGGGAGCAAACAGGAUUAGAUACCCUGGUAGUCCACGCCGUAAACGAUGAGUGCUAAGUGUUAGAGGGUUUCCGCCCUUUAGUGCUGCAGCUAACGCAUUAAGCACUCCGCCUGGGGAGUACGGUCGCAAGACUGANGCNGNNANNUUUUUUUUUNGGGGGGG